AAGCCAAGUCCAACUCAUUCCAACUCACAACUCAAUAAGCCGGCUUAUUGAGUCGACGGCUUACUUGAGGUCAACUCAACUCAGCUUGACUCAACUCAACUCAAUAAGCCGAUUCAAGCCAAGCCGAGUUGGCAACUCUACCCCAGGGUGACCACCCAAGAUAAUCACCAGGAUCACUACCAUCAGACAACCACUCCCAGAUAACCACAAUCCGAAAUUUAGCUUUUUGAAUUUGUUUUACUUUUAAUUUCUAGCCAUUUGAAGUUUUACUUUCUUUACUUUCACUUCCGUUGCGGUCCAUUUGAUUUUGCUUCCGUUUCCGACAGACAUUUCCAGCUUAUAAUAUAGAUAAUUAUCACAGAUGACGACGUACUGAAAAAUGUGGCUAAAAUUUUCGCCCCUUAUCAAGAACUUGUAUUACACGGGCUUGGCAUCUGUUCUAUGGAUCCCGUCCUUCUAAUUAAAACAGUUAAAACCUUGCACCACUUGGGCUCUGUCACGUAUCCAAAUUUUUAUAAAGGAAUUACCCCUACCCAAUUGAUCUCUACUUUUCGCAAAGCAAAAUUAUUGCGAAUUAUAAAACAUUUCGGGGACGAUGGGAAACUUUCACUCAUUUUUCUAUUCGAGCAAACUGGGAUCCAACACGAAUUCCUAAUCCUGAAAUGCGAAUAAUAUUCGCAUUUUACUUGUACGCCGCGCUGAAAAUUGGCCAUCGCGACCCGAGAUGUUCUGCAAAAUCACGCAGCGAACCUCCCACUUUACUGCACAUUUUUGAUACUAAAGGGUUCUCCACUUCACACGCGAAAAUAUUCAGCUUCAGAGAGACCUUAAUCAGUAUCAGGCUGUAUAAUGCACUGCCCAAAAAUGUGACAAAAUGCGUGAUUUUUAGAAAUAGCGGAAUCAUGUUUGAGAAAACUUACUCCUUUGUUAAGUGGCUACUUCCGUAUGAUAUGCGAAAAAUGAUUCACGUAUGUUCGGACGACAUUUCGCCCAUAUUUGAACACGUGCCGGUGGAAGGCGUUCCAAAAGCGGUGGGCGGUCUGGCUGAAAAUGAUGAAGUAUUCUUAGCCGAUCUGGAAAAAGAGUUGGAUGCAGACGGUGGCCUGCAUACCCUGCUAAACAUGAUUUUUGAUAGAUCGUAAUAUUCGAAAUUCGCACAUUCGAUUUUUCAAAAACAUUCGCAUGGUGAAUGUUACCGAGAUUAACAAUAACUGUCAUUAUCAUGUACUUGCGAAAGAUCGCUCAAAUAUGGGUUUAAUAUUUACAAAAAAAUGCCAACAUGUUUAAGAAAUAUUUAUAUAAAUACAUACAUACGUAUGUAUGAACAAAACUAUAAAAAUAAGAAUUUUCGA